UGAUAGCUGUGAAGCGCGAGGUUGCUGCUGAAAAGCAGGUUUUCCGUGGAGCGAAUGUCAAGUUAGGAAACUGACGACAA
rnacentral:ncRNA from 1 species